CUUCGUUCUAAGUCUCGAAUCAUGUCUCCGUUCACAGAUGUCGAAGAAGCACUCACGGAUCUCGUAUUCGAACGUUCACCAGUUUGUCAAUAGGCUGAUAUGAGAAGGCAGAGGAAAAAACAGAUGUGUAAUAUAUCUGCUCUUUUUUUGACAAGUUAAUUUGCAUGUUCUUGUAUAUUUGAUCUGGUAUACUUGAAUCUGUCAUGUAAUGACAUGUCUUCAUAUUCCAUUAUAGUUUUAUUUUUAAUAAAUGUGGAUU